UUCGACCUACGGUGUCACGACUGUUCGUAGUAAAGCUACUGUAGUUUGACUACACAUAAGUAUUGAUUUGUGUAUAAAUUUUUGUAGUGGAUGUUGGCUACAGUUGGUUGAGCUGUAGGAGUAGAGUGUACAUCUAGAUGGGAUCUAUCGACCUUGAUAGAGGGAGCAAUCCUAUGAGAUUUGAGAAGCCAAGUCUCCAAGUCUGUGGCCACAACAGUAUGAUUAAUAGAAAAAAAAAUUUAUUUAGAAUCACUAUUGGACUUGAGCUAAUUAGAUUUAUCAUAUGAUAGAUGAUGAGAUUUGAUGAUUUAUCCAUGACCUGCCAUCUAGUCGAGACUCAAGAUAGAGAAAUUGUAUCACACAUUAACUAUAUCUAGAAGUUCUUCUUCGAUUCUACUGGGUGGCCAC
rnacentral:lncRNA from 1 species